CUGCGUGAAGUCGGAAUCGCUAGUAAUCGCGGAUCAGCAUGCCGCGGUGAAUACGUUCCCGGGCCUUGUACACACCGCCCGUCACACCAUGAGAGUCGGGAACACCCGAAGCCCGUAGCCUAACAGCAAUGAGGGCGCGGUCGAAGGUGGGUUCGAUAAUUGGGGUGAAGUCGUAACAAGGUAAC
rnacentral:rRNA from 1 species